AGCGAACGCUGGCGGCAGGCCUAACACAUACAAGUCGAACGAACUCUUCGGAGUUAGUGGCGGACGGGUGAGUAACACGUGGGAACGUGCCUUUUGGUUCGGAAUAACUCAGGGAAACUUGUGCUAAUACCGAAUGUGCCCUUCGGGGGAAAGAUUUAUCGCCAUUAGAGCGGCCCGCGUCUGAUUAGCUAGUUGGUGAGGUAACGGCUCACCAAGGCGACGAUCAGUAGCUGGUCUGAGAGGAUGACCAGCCACACUGGGACUGAGACACGGCCCAGACUCCUACGGGAGGCAGCAGUGGGGAAUCUUGCGCAAUGGGCGAAAGCCUGACGCAGCCAUGCCGCGUGAAUGAUGAAGGUCUUAGGAUUGUAAAAUUCUUUCACCGGGGACGAUAAUGACGGUACCCGGAGAAGAAGCCCCGGCUAACUUCGUG
rnacentral:rRNA from 1 species